rnacentral:rRNA from 1 species
CCUACGGGCGGCAGCAGUAGGGAAUCUUCCACAAUGGGCGAAAGCCUGAUGGAGCAACGCCGCGUGGGUGAAGAAGGUCUUCGGAUCGUAAAACCCUGUUGUUAGAGAAGAAAGUGCGUGAGAGUAACUGUUCACGUUUCGACGGUAUCUAACCAGAAAGCCACGGCUAACUACGUGCCAGCAGCCGCGGUAAUACGUAGGUGGCAAGCGUUAUCCGGAUUGAUUGGGCGUAAAGGGAACACAGGCGGUCUUUUAAGUCUGAUGUGAAAGCCUUCGGCUUAACCGGAGUAGUGCAUUGGAAACUGGGAGACUUGAGUGCAGAAGAGGAGAGUGGAACUCCAUGUGUAGCGGUGAAAUGCGUAGAUAUAUGGAAGAACACCAGUGGCGAAAGCGGCUCUCUGGUCUGUAACUGACGCUGAGGUUCGAAAGCGUGGGUAGCAAACAGGAUUAGAUACCCCUGUAGUC